UCUGAAAAGAUAUAGAAGGUCCAGCCUGCCCAGUGACAAAGUUAAACGGCCGCGGUACCCUAACCGUGCGAAGGUAGCGCAAUCACUUGUUCUUUAAAUGAGGACUAGUAUGAACGGCAUCACGAGGAUUAUACUGUCUCCCCCCUUUAAUCAGUGAAACUGAUCUCCCCGUGAAGAAGCGGGGAUAAACUUAUAAGACGAGAAGACCCUAUGGAGCUUUAAACUAACACCACCUGUCUAUAAACACUUCACAACAAACAGACAAAACCUGCGUGCUAGUUUUUGGUUGGGGUGACCGCGGAGUAAAAUAAAACCUCCACAAUGAAAAGACUUUUCCUCUUAAUCCAAGAGCAACAUCUCAAAGAAUUGGCAAACCAACACAACUGAUCCAAACAAUGUUUUGAUCAACGAAC
rnacentral:rRNA from 1 species